rnacentral:rRNA from 1 species
GGACAACCUGCCCUGAGGACUGGAAUAAUCCCGGGAAACUGGGGGUAAUUCCAGAUAUGUCAGAACUCCUGGAAUGGGUUCUGGCAGAAAGGCUCCGGCGCCUCAGGAUGGGUCUGCGGCCUAUCAGGGUAGUAGUGGGUGUAACGUACCUACUAGCCUACGACGGGUACGGGUUGUGAGAGCAAGAGCCCGGAGAUGGAUUCUGAGACAUGAAUCCAGGCCCUACGGGGUGCAGCAGGCGCGAAAACUUUACAAUGCGGGCAACCGCGAUAAGGGGACCUCGAGUGCUGGGUUACAAACCUGGCUGUUGGGCUGCCUAAAAAGCAGUCUAUAGCAAGGGCCGGGCAAGACCGGUGCCAGCCGCCGCGGUAACACCGGCGGCUCGAGUGGUAACCGCUGUUAUUGGGUCUAAAGGGUCUGUAGCCUGCCGGCUAAGUCUCUUGGGAAAUCUGGCAUCUCAAGUGUCAGGCUGCCAGGGGAUACUGGUCAGCUUGGACCGGGAGAGGUGAGAGGUACCUCAGGGGUAGGGGUGAAAUCUUGUAAUCCUUGAGGGACCACCAGUGGCGAAGGCGUCUCACCAGAACGGAUCCGACGGCGAGGGACGAAAGCUAGGGGCACGAACCGGAUUAGAUACCCGGGUAGUCCUAGCCGUAAACGAUACUCGCUAGGUGUCGGCCACGGUGCGACCGUGGUCGGUGCCGUAGGGAAGCCGUGAAGCGAGCCACCUGGGAAGUACGGCCGCAAGGCUGAAACU